GUAAAGUGGCAGAAGCUGGGACCAUCCAACUCUAAAGCCCACAUUCUUAGACAUUAGGGGAUAUUGAAUGAAGUGUGUGUAUGUAUGGGGGAAUUUAAGAGAAUAUCAAACCAUUUGUAGAGUUCUACCCAAUAUAGAGACCUUAUCUAAUGUAAGAGAACUCUGAAGACAUCUCAUUGAUUGAAUGCUCUCCCCUUCAUAGCAACUUCUUCUGCGGCUUCCUUGCCUGGUGCUCCAGUCUUUGAGGGAAGCACGGCUGGCACGUUCUUCCGUUUGGAGACAUGGUUGACAAUUUCUCCAUAAUGGGGACACAACUGGCAAUUUUCCUACAGAGUGAGGCAGAUGGCAAUUUUCCUUCAGAGACAUGCAGGCAACAGUUUUGCCCCUGGAGAGAAAAGCCUCGCCGAUUGAGAUGCAGCCAGUAAUUUUUACUAUACAGAAGACACAUCCAAUAAUUUUGCCCAGUGAGAGAAACGGCCAACAAUUUUCCCACAGAGGACAGGAAAAACAGACCAAAAAUUCAUAGUGGGGAGAAGUGAGGAGCAAAUGGGCUGGUAUGACCAAGAAAGACUUAAUAAGAAGCUGAGCCUUAAAUGAUCAAGAAGCACUGGAUAGAUAAGAGCACUGUUCACAAUAGCCAAGAUUUGGAAGCAACCUAAGUGUUCACCAACUGAUGAAUGGAUAAAGAAAAUGUGGUACUUAUAUACAAUGAAGUACUAUUCAGCCAUGAAAAA
rnacentral:lncRNA from 1 species